rnacentral:lncRNA from 1 species
CCCUCACAAAGGCGGCGGAAGGUGAUCGAAUUCCGGUGAUGCGAGUUGUUCUCCGUCUAUAAAUACGCCUCGCCCGAGCUGUGCGGUAGGCAUUGAGGCAGCCAGCGCAGGGGCUUCUGCUGAGGGGGCAGGCGGAGCUUGAGGAAACCGCAGAUAAGUUUUUUUCUCUUUGAAAGAUAGAGAUUAAUACAACUACUUAAAAAAUAUAGUCAAUAGGUUACUAAGAUAUUGCUUAGCGUUAAGUUUUUAACGUAAUUUUAAUAGCUUAAGAUUUUAAGAGAAAAUAUGAAGACUUAGAAGAGUAGCAUGAGGAAGGAAAAGAUAAAAGGUUUCUAAAACAUGACGGAGGUUGAGAUGAAGCUUCUUCAUGGAGUAAAAAAUGUAUUUAAAAGAAAAUUGAGAGAAAGGACUACAGAGCCCCGAAUUAAUACCAAUAGAAGGGCAAUGCUUUUAGAUUAAAAUGAAGGUGACUUAAACAGCUUAAAGUUUAGUUUAAAAGUUGUAGGUGAUUAAAAUAAUUUGAAGGCGAUCUUUUAAAAAGAGAUUAAACCGAAGGUGAUUAAAAGACCUUGAAAUCCAUGACGCAGGGAGAAUUGCGUCAUUUAAAGCCUAGUUAACGCAUUUACUAAACGCAGACGAAAAUGGAAAGAUUAAUUGGGAGUGGUAGGAUGAAACAAUUUGGAGAAGAUAGAAGUUUGAAGUGGAAAACUGGAAGACAGAAGUACGGGAAGGCGAAGAAAAGAAUAGAGAAGAUAGGGAAAUUAGAAGAUAAAAACAUACUUUUAGAAGAAAAAAGAUAAAUUUAAACCUGAAAAGUAGGAAGCAGAAGAAAAAAGACAAGCUAGGAAACAAAAAGCUAAGGGCAAAAUGUACAAACUUAGAAGAAAAUUGGAAGAUAGAAACAAGAUAGAAAAUGAAAAUAUUGUCAAGAGUUUCAGAUAGAAAAUGAAAAACAAGCUAAGACAAGUAUUGGAGAAGUAUAGAAGAUAGAAAAAUAUAAAGCCAAAAAUUGGAUAAAAUAGCACUGAAAAAAUGAGGAAAUUAUUGGUAACCAAUUUAUUUUAAAAGCCCAUCAAUUUAAUUUCUGGUGGUGCAGAAGUUAGAAGGUAAAGCUUGAGAAGAUGAGGGUGUUUACGUAGACCAGAACCAAUUUAGAAGAAUACUUGAAGCUAGAAGGGGAAGUUGGUUAAAAAUCACAUCAAAAAGCUACUAAAAGGACUGGUGUAAUUUAAAAAAAACUAAGGCAGAAGGCUUUUGGAAGAGUUAGAAGAAUUUGGAAGGCCUUAAAUAUAGUAGCUUAGUUUGAAAAAUGUGAAGGACUUUCGUAACGGAAGUAAUUCAAGAUCAAGAGUAAUUACCAACUUAAUGUUUUUGCAUUGGACUUUGAGUUAAGAUUAUUUUUUAAAUCCUGAGGACUAGCAUUAAUUGACAGCUGACCCAGGUGCUACACAGAAGUGGAUUCAGUGAAUCUAGGAAGACAGCAGCAGACAGGAUUCCAGGAACCAGUGUUUGAUGAAGCUAGGACUGAGGAGCAAGCGAGCAAGCAGCAGUUCGUGGUGAAGAUAGGAAAAGAGUCCAGGAGCCAGUGCGAUUUGGUGAAGGAAGCUAGGAAGAAGGAAGGAGCGCUAACGAUUUGGUGGUGAAGCUAGGAAAAAGGAUUCCAGGAAGGAGCGAGUGCAAUUUGGUGAUGAAGGUAGCAGGCGGCUUGGCUUGGCAACCACACGGAGGAGGCGAGCAGGCGUUGUGCGUAGAGGAUCCUAGACCAGCAUGCCAGUGUGCCAAGGCCACAGGGAAAGCGAGUGGUUGGUAAAAAUCCGUGAGGUCGGCAAUAUGUUGUUUUUCUGGAACUUACUUAUGGUAACCUUUUAUUUAUUUUCUAAUAUAAUGGGGGAGUUUCGUACUGAGGUGUAAAGGGAUUUAUAUGGGGACGUAGGCCGAUUUCCGGGUGUUGUAGGUUUCUCUUUUUCAGGCUUAUACUCAUGAAUCUUGUCUGAAGCUUUUGAGGGCAGACUGCCAAGUCCUGGAGAAAUAGUAGAUGGCAAGUUUGUGGGUUUUUUUUUUUUACACGAAUUUGAGGAAAACCAAAUGAAUUUGAUAGCCAAAUUGAGACAAUUUCAGCAAAUCUGUAAGCAGUUUGUAUGUUUAGUUGGGGUAAUGAAGUAUUUCAGUUUUGUGAAUAGAUGACCUGUUUUUACUUCCUCACCCUGAAUUCGUUUUGUAAAUGUAGAGUUUGGAUGUGUAACUGAGGCGGGGGGGAGUUUUCAGUAUUUUUUUUUGUGGGGGUGGGGGCAAAAUAUGUUUUCAGUUCUUUUUCCCUUAGGUCUGUCUAGAAUCCUAAAGGCAAAUGACUCAAGGUGUAACAGAAAACAAGAAAAUCCAAUAUCAGGAUAAUCAGACCACCACAGGUUUACAGUUUAUAGAAACUAGAGCAGUUCUCACGUUGAGGUCUGUGGAAGAGAUGUCCAUUGGAGAAAUGGCUGGUAGUUACUCUUUUUUCCCCCCACCCCCUUAAUCAGACUUUAAAAGUGCUUAACCCCUUAAACUUGUUAUUUUUUACUUGAAGCAUUUUGGGAUGGUCUUAACAGGGAAGAGAGAGGGUGGGGGAGAAAAUGUUUUUUUCUAAGAUUUUCCACAGAUGCUAUAGUACUAUUGACAAACUGGGUUAGAGAAGGAGUGUACCGCUGUGCUGUUGGCACGAACACCUUCAGGGACUGGAGCUGCUUUUAUCCUUGGAAGAGUAUUCCCAGUUGAAGCUGAAAAGUACAGCACAGUGCAGCUUUGGUUCAUAUUCAGUCAUCUCAGGAGAACUUCAGAAGAGCUUGAGUAGGCCAAAUGUUGAAGUUAAGUUUUCCAAUAAUGUGACUUCUUAAAAGUUUUAUUAAAGGGGAGGGGCAAAUAUUGGCAAUUAGUUGGCAGUGGCCUGUUACGGUUGGGAUUGGUGGGGUGGGUUUAGGUAAUUGUUUAGUUUAUGAUUGCAGAUAAACUCAUGCCAGAGAACUUAAAGUCUUAGAAUGGAAAAAGUAAAGAAAUAUCAACUUCCAAGUUGGCAAGUAACUCCCAAUGAUUUAGUUUUUUUCCCCCCAGUUUGAAUUGGGAAGCUGGGGGAAGUUAAAUAUGAGCCACUGGGUGUACCAGUGCAUUAAUUUGGGCAAGGAAAGUGUCAUAAUUUGAUACUGUAUCUGUUUUCCUUCAAAGUAUAGAGCUUUUGGGGAAGGAAAGUAUUGAACUGGGGGUUGGUCUGGCCUACUGGGCUGACAUUAACUACAAUUAUGGGAAAUGCAAAAGUUGUUUGGAUAUGGUAGUGUGUGGUUCUCUUUUGGAAUUUUUUUCAGGUGAUUUAAUAAUAAUUUAAAACUACUAUAGAAACUGCAGAGCAAAGGAAGUGGCUUAAUGAUCCUGAAGGGAUUUCUUCUGAUGGUAGCUUUUGUAUUAUCAAACUUUUUUCAGAUAACAUCUUCUGAGUCAUAACCAGCCUGGCAGUAUGAUGGCCUAGAUGCAGAGAAAACAGCUCCUUGGUGAAUUGAUAAGUAAAGGCAGAAAAGAUUAUAUGUCAUACCUCCAUUGGGGAAUAAGCAUAACCCUGAGAUUCUUACUACUGAUGAGAACAUUAUCUGCAUAUGCCAAAAAAUUUUAAGCAAAUGAAAGCUACCAAUUUAAAGUUACGGAAUCUACCAUUUUAAAGUUAAUUGCUUGUCAAGCUAUAACCACAAAAAUAAUGAAUUGAUGAGAAAUACAAUGAAGAGGCAAUGUCCAUCUCAAAAUACUGCUUUUACAAAAGCAGAAUAAAAGCGAAAAGAAAUGAAAAUGUUACACUACAUUAAUCCUGGAAUAAAAGAAGCCGAAAUAAAUGAGAGAUGAGUUGGGAUCAAGUGGAUUGAGGAGGCUGUGCUGUGUGCCAAUGUUUCGUUUGCCUCAGACAGAAACUUUGUCUGCGAACACUCUUUAAUGGACCAGAUCAGGAUUUGAGCGGAAGAACGAAUGUAACUUUAAGGCAGGAAAGACAAAUUUUAUUCUUCAUAAAGUGAUGAGCAUAUAAUAAUUCCAGGCACAUGGCAAUAGAGGCCCUCUAAAUAAGGAAUAAAUAACCUCUUAGACAGGUGGGAGAUUAUGAUCAGAGUAAAAGGUAAUUACACAUUUUAUUUCCAGAAAGUCAGGGGUCUAUAAAUUGACAGUGAUUAGAGUAAUACUUUUUCACAUUUCCAAAGUUUGCAUGUUAACUUUAAAUGCUUACAAUCUUAGAGUGGUAGGCAAUGUUUUACACUAUUGACCUUAUAUAGGGAAGGGAGGGGGUGCCUGUGGGGUUUUAAAGAAUUUUCCUUUGCAGAGGCAUUUCAUCCUUCAUGAAGCCAUUCAGGAUUUUGAAUUGCAUAUGAGUGCUUGGCUCUUCCUUCUGUUCUAACUUCACAGAGAAUGCAGUUGUCUUGACUUCAGGUCUGUCUGUUCUGUUGGCAAGUAAAUGCAGUACUGUUCUGAUCCCGCUGCUAUUAGAAUGCAUUGUGAAACGACUGGAGUAUGAUUAAAAGUUGUGUUCCCCAAUGCUUGGAGUAGUGAUUGUUGAAGGAAAAAAUCCAGCUGAGUGAUAAAGGCUGAGUGUUGAGGAAAUUUCUGCAGUUUUAAGCAGUCGUAUUUGUGAUUGAAGCUGAGUACAUUUUGCUGGUGUAUUUUUAGGUAAAAUGCUUUUUGUUCAUUUCUGGUGGUGGGAGGGGACUGAAGCCUUUAGUCUUUUCCAGAUGCAACCUUAAAAUCAGUGACAAGAAACAUUCCAAACAAGCAACAGUCUUCAAGAAAUUAAACUGGCAAGUGGAAAUGUUUAAACAGUUCAGUGAUCUUUAGUGCAUUGUUUAUGUGUGGGUUUCUCUCUCCCCUCCCUUGGUCUUAAUUCUUACAUGCAGGAACACUCAGCAGACACACGUAUGCGAAGGGCCAGAGAAGCCAGACCCAGUAAGAAAAAAUAGCCUAUUUACUUUAAAUAAACCAAACAUUCCAUUUUAAAUGUGGGGAUUGGGAACCACUAGUUCUUUCAGAUGGUAUUCUUCAGACUAUAGAAGGAGCUUCCAGUUGAAUUCACCAGUGGACAAAAUGAGGAAAACAGGUGAACAAGCUUUUUCUGUAUUUACAUACAAAGUCAGAUCAGUUAUGGGACAAUAGUAUUGAAUAGAUUUCAGCUUUAUGCUGGAGUAACUGGCAUGUGAGCAAACUGUGUUGGCGUGGGGGUGGAGGGGUGAGGUGGGCGCUAAGCCUUUUUUUAAGAUUUUUCAGGUACCCCUCACUAAAGGCACCGAAGGCUUAAAGUAGGACAACCAUGGAGCCUUCCUGUGGCAGGAGAGACAACAAAGCGCUAUUAUCCUAAGGUCAAGAGAAGUGUCAGCCUCACCUGAUUUUUAUUAGUAAUGAGGACUUGCCUCAACUCCCUCUUUCUGGAGUGAAGCAUCCGAAGGAAUGCUUGAAGUACCCCUGGGCUUCUCUUAACAUUUAAGCAAGCUGUUUUUAUAGCAGCUCUUAAUAAUAAAGCCCAAAUCUCAAGCGGUGCUUGAAGGGGAGGGAAAGGGGGAAAGCGGGCAACCACUUUUCCCUAGCUUUUCCAGAAGCCUGUUAAAAGCAAGGUCUCCCCACAAGCAACUUCUCUGCCACAUCGCCACCCCGUGCCUUUUGAUCUAGCACAGACCCUUCACCCCUCACCUCGAUGCAGCCAGUAGCUUGGAUCCUUGUGGGCAUGAUCCAUAAUCGGUUUCAAGGUAAUAGCCUGCAGCUGGUGUUUUGAGAAGCCCUACUGCUGAAAACUUAACAAUUUUGUGUAAUAAAAAUGGAGAAGCUCUAAAUUGUUGUGGUUCUUUUGUGAAUAAAAAAAUCUUGAUUGGGGAAAAAAGAUGGGUGUUCUGUGGGCUUGUUCUGUUAAAUCUGUGGUCUAUAAACACAGCACCCAUAAUUACAGCAUAAUCUUCAAGUAGGGUACGGACUUUGGGGGAUUGGUGCGAGGGUAGUGGGUGAGUGGCCUACUAAAAAGCCCAGUAACCCCCACAGGAAAAUAGGG